rnacentral:rRNA from 1 species
AUACGAAUGGAGCAAGCGUUGUUCGGAAUCACUGGGCGUAAAGCGUACGUAGGCGGAUUUUUAAGUCAGAAGUGAAAGCCCAGGGCUCAACCCUGGAACUGCUUUUGAAACUGGAAGUCUAGAGUCCCGGAGAGGUUAGGGGAAUUCCGAGUGUAGCAGUGAAAUGCGCAGAUAUUCGGAGGAACACCAGUGGCGUAGGCGCCUAACUGGACGGGAACUGACGCUGAGGUACGAAAGCGUGGGGAGCAAACGGGAUUAGAAACCCGAGUAGUCC